rnacentral:tRNA from 1 species
GGAACUGUGGCUCAAUGGUAGAGCACCCGCCUUGCACAUGUGAGGCACUGGGUUCAAUCCUCAGCUCCA